GCGCCUGUAGCUCAGUUGGAUAGAGCAACGGACUUCUAAUCCGUAGGCCGGGGGUUCGAAUCCCUCCAGGCGCGCCA
rnacentral:tRNA from 2 species